ACACCUAUUUCAACAAGGCCACACCUCCAGAUGGUGCCACUCCCUGGUUCAAGGAUAUACAAACCAUCACACCAAGGAAGGGUGGGUAUCAACUCCUCUGGCACAGGAACGCCACACAGCUGUUCCAAAGAGCUGAAACAUCCGUGUUGCUUUUUAAAAAGUGAGUUCCAGAACAAUAUGAACUAACCUAUAAUCCCCAGA
rnacentral:lncRNA from 1 species